GGCUCCUUGUCGUUUUUAUAUAAGGAGUCGGACCUGCCCAGUGAAAUUUUAACGGCCGCGGUACUCUGACCGUGCAAAGGUAGCAUAAUCACUUGCCUUAUAAUUGAAGGCUAGUAUGAAUGGUUUGACGAAAGCGCUUCUGUCUCUCCCUUACUCUAUAGAACUUAACUUUCAGGUGAAGAGGCCUGAUUAAAAUUGAAGGACGAGAAGACCCUGUCGAGCUUGAAGAUACUAAAGACAGCCUCUAUGUUCUACAGAUAUCAAGCUUUAUUUCUCUUUUGGUUGGGGCGACUAGGGAACAAUUAAAGCUUCCCCUGUUAAUAAGACCUUUUUGUUAGGAUCCAAUAUUAUUGAUUAAAAGAAUUAGUUACCGCAGGGAUAACAGCAUAAUCCCUCCUGAGAGACCUUAUCGAAGGAGGGGGUUGUGACCUCGAUGUUGGACUAGGAUAUCCUGAAGACGCAGAAGUUUUCGAGGGCUGGUCUGUUCGACCAUUAAAAUCCUACG
rnacentral:rRNA from 1 species